UGAGCAAUCUGCCCUUCACAUCGGAAUAACCAUUGGAAACGAUGGCUAAUGCCGAAUAUGACCUCGGAACACAUGUUCUGAGGUGGAAAGCUCCGGCGGAGAAGGAUGAGCUCGCGGCCUAUCAGCUUGUUGGUGAGGUAAUGGCCCACCAAGGCGACGACGGGUAGCCGGCCUGAGAGGGUGACCGGCCACACUGGGACUGAGACACGGCCCAGACCUCUACGGGGGG
rnacentral:rRNA from 1 species